AACGAACGCUGGCGGCAUGCCUAACACAUGCAAGUCGAACGAACCCUUCGGGGUUAGUGGCGCACGGGUGCGUAACGCGUGGGAAUCUGCCCUUUGCUUCGGAAUAACUCAGGGAAACUUGUGCUAAUACCGGAUGAUGUCUUCGGACCAAAGAUUUAUCGGCAAGGGAUGAGCCCGCGUAGGAUUAGGUAGUUGGUGGGGUAAAGGCCUACCAAGCCGACGAUCCUUAGCUGGUCUGAGAGGAUGAUCAGCCACACUGGGACUGAGACACGGCCCAGACUCCUACGGGAGGCGGCAGUGGGGAAUAUUGGACAAUGGGCGCAAGCCUGAUCCAGCAAUGCCGCGUGAGUGAUGAAGGCCCUCGGGUCGUAAAGCUCUUUUAACAGGGAUGAUAAUGACAGUACCUGGAGAAUAAGCGCCGGCUAACUCCGUG
rnacentral:rRNA from 1 species